UUGUGGAGGAGGACGCCGAAGGUGGGGCUAAUGACUGGGGUGAAGUCGUAACAAGGUAGCCGUACCGGAAGGUGCGGCUGGAUCACCUCCUAACAGGGAGACAACAAAAUGUUUAAUAUUAUUAUUUUGUCACCUUAGGUCGAUCGGUAUCUCACAUUCUUAAUUUAUUAAGGAUUUCAUUUCUUAAGUUUUUCUAGGUCACACCCAUUAUUUUUCCUGGGCCAUUAGCUCAGGUGGUUAGAGCGCACCCCUGAUAAGGGUGAGGUCCCUGGUUCAAGUCCAGGAUGGCCCAUAUCUCUAUGUUGGGGGUAUAGCUCAGUUGGUAGAGCGCCUGCUUUGCAAGCAGGAUGUCAGCGGUUCGAGUCCGCUUACCUCCACUGAUUACCACCUCUUCCAUAAUCUGUAGAAAGGAAAUUUUUUGAGUUGUGAUCAAAUUCUGAACGAAUCUAGCUUCUUAAUAAAAUAUUAGGAUGCUGGACUCAUUGAAUUAAUUUCAUUGUUUUCAGAGAACCUUGACAACUGCAUAGAUUAUUUUAAAGACAAUAAGCAUCUUUAAUGAUGCAGAUUUAUUAUUUGUGCGAAUGCAUUAAUAACAAUUCUAUUAAGCUGAUGCUUCAAUUUAAGAAGUUAUUGGUCAAGCUACAA
rnacentral:misc_RNA from 1 species